rnacentral:misc_RNA from 1 species
GCUUGUUUGUUAGACCCUACACCGACCUUCAACCGUCGGUGGGUCCGAAAGAUAAUGGCAGAGUUGGUGAGACCCUGGAUGCAGCGAGCUUUUAUUUUCAGCACGCAUCACGGCGGUUCUCCGGGCUCGGUCUUAACCGGAUAUUCAAUCCACUUCUUAUGGUUGACCUCGGAUCAGGUAGGGAUACCCGCUGAACUUAA